CAGCAGCCGCGGGAAUACCGAGGGUGCAAGCGUUAAUCGGAAUUACUGGGCGUAAAGCGCGCGUAGGUGGUUUGUUAAGUUGGAUGUGAAAUCCCCGGGCUCAACCUGGGAACUGCAUCCAAAACUGGCAAGCUAGAGUAUGGUAGAGGGUGGUGGAAUUUCCUGUGUAGCGGUGAAAUGCGUAGAUAUAGGAAGGAACACCAGUGGCGAAGGCGACCACCUGGACUGAUACUGACACUGAGGUGCGAAAGCGUGGGGAGCAAACAGGAUUAGAUACCCGAGUAGUCCCUGUCUCUUAUAC
rnacentral:rRNA from 1 species